UUCCGGUUGAUCCUGCCGGACCUGACUGCUAUCGGAUUGAUACUAAGCCAUGCGAGUCAUUGUAGCAAUACAAGGCAGACGGCUCAGUAACGCGUAGUCAACCUAACCUAUGGACGGGAAUAACCUCGGGAAACUGAGAAUAAUGCCCGAUAGAACACUAUACCUGGAAUGGUUUGUGUUCCAAAUGAUUUAUCGCCGUAGGAUGGGACUGCGGCCUAUCAGUUUGUUGGUGAGGUAAUGGCCCACCAAGACUAUUACAGGUACGGGCUCUGAGAGGAGUAGCCCGGAGAUGGGUACUGAGACACGGACCCAGGCCCUAUGGGGCGCAGCAGGCGAGAAACCUUUGCAAUGUGCGCAAGCACGACAAGGUUAAUCCGAGUGUUUCCUGCUAAAGGAAUCUUUUGUUAGUCGUAAAACCACUAUUGAAUAAGGGGUGGGCAAGUUCUGGUGUCAGCCGCCGCGGUAAAACCAGCACCUCAAGUGGUCAGGAGGAUUAUUGGGCCUAAAGCAUCCGUAGCCUGUUCUAUAAGUUUCCGGUUAAAUCCAUUAGCUCAACUAAUGGGCCGCCGAAAAUACUGUAGAACUAGGGAGUGGGAGAGGUAGACGGUACUCGGUAGGAAGGGGUAAAAUCCUUUGAUCUAUUGAUGACCACCUGUGGCGAAGGCGGUCUACCAGAACACGUUCGACGGUGAGGGAUGAAAGCUGGGGGAGCAAACCGGAUUAGAUACCCGGGUAGUCCCAGCUGUAAACGAUGCAGACUCGGUGAUGCGCUGGCUUGUGGCCAGUGCAGUGCCGCAGGGAAGCCGUUAAGUUUGCCGCCUGGGAAGUACGUACGCAAGUAUGAAACUUAAAGGAAUUGGCGGGGGAGCACCACAAGGGGUGAAGCCUGCGGUUCAAUUGGAGUCAACGCCGGG
rnacentral:rRNA from 1 species